rnacentral:rRNA from 1 species
AGAGUUUGAUCCUGGCUCAGGAUGAACGCUAGCGACAGGCUUAACACAUGCAAGUCGAGGGGCAGCGAGGGAGUGGCAACACUUCUGUCGGCGACCGGCGCACGGGUGAGUAACGCGUAUGCAACCUGCCCUUCACAGGGGGAUAACCGGGAGAAAUUCCGACUAAUACCGCAUACGUCCUCCGGGGGCAUCCCCGGAGGACGAAAGAAUUAUCGGUGAAGGAUGGGCAUGCGUGAUAUUAGGUAGUUGGCGGGGCAACGGCCCACCAAGCCCACGAUAUCUAGGGGUUCUGAGAGGAAGGUCCCCCACAUUGGUACUGAGACACGGACCAAACUCCUACGGGAGGCAGCAGUGAGGAAUAUUGGUCAAUGGACGAGAGUCUGAACCAGCCAAGUCGCGUGAAGGAAGACGGAUCUAUGGUUUGUAAACUUCUUUAGUGCGGGAACAAAGCGGCGUCGAGACGCCGGAUGAGUGUACCGCAAGAAUAAGCAUCGGCUAACUCCGUGCCAGCAGCCGCGGUAAUACGGAGGAUGCGAGCGUUAUCCGGAUUUAUUGGGUUUAAAGGGAGCGCAGGCUGCGAGGCAAGUCAGCGGUCAAAUGUCGGGGCUCAACCCCGGCCUGCCGUUGAAACUGUUUUGCUAGAGUUCGAGUGAGGUAUGCGGAAUGCGUUGUGUAGCGGUGAAAUGCAUAGAUAUGACGCAGAACUCCGAUUGCGAAGGCAGCAUACCAACUCGCGACUGACGCUGAGGCUCGAAAGCGUGGGUAUCGAACAGGAUUAGAUACCCUGGUAGUCCACGCAGUAAACGAUGAAUACUAACUGUUCGGAGGGCGACCUCUGAGUGGUAAAGCGAAAGCGUUAAGUAUUCCACCUGGGGAGUACGCCGGCAACGGUGAAACU